GCCAAAAGAAAAUUGUUUAGACAAAAAUCAAAAGGAUCCCAAAUCUAAUUUACAAAAAAAUAUUUCUUUAUUAACCUUUGGUCGAGAAUAUGUUUAUAUAUUUCCAGAAAAGCCCAUAUAGAUUCCUACAACAACGGAUCCCAGAGAAGACCUAAUAGAACUAUUCCAGCCACAGAGUAAGCAGUGGCCCACAAGAACAAAGGUAAAAUAGUCCAGAAAUAAAUACAGUAAAGACGCCUUACCAUACUAGCAGUCAGCAGCUGUAAAUUACUACAAGUUACCCAGGACCAAGGACAAGGAAGAAGGAGCAAUGCAGCCAAUUCGGGUGCCAGAGAGUUACGUGUAUCACUACAAUGGACUCAGACAAGCUCCUGUGACCCUUCACUCAAAAGGACUAAGGUGCCAACAUAGAGUCAUCUAAAGAAGUUAACGACUGAAGUGCAGCAGAUUGUAGAGAAGCAAGAAGUUAAAGCUACUUCUUCAACCAUGUUCCUGCUCAUACUAGCAUCUAUUAGCUGCCAGUCUUCUACAAAGUUUUAUGCAGCUAAACAAAAGACUCUAAAUAAAUAUACACCAGGGACACCAGCAACACAA